AUACUUAAACCUGGGCAGGGGAUAUACGAUGAUCACAAAGGUGGUUUUCCCAGGGUGAGGCUUAUCCAUUGCACUCUGGAUGUGCUGACCCCUGCAGUUUCCCCAAAUGUGGGAAACUCAACUGCAUAAUUGUGGUAGUGGGGGACUGCAUUUGUGCUUUCCCCUU
rnacentral:snRNA from 1 species